rnacentral:antisense_RNA from 1 species
AAAAGCAAAGUAAAUAGAAGAAGAUAGAAUUGCAGGACAUUAUGAAAACGGAUUCUUUUUUCUGUGGAAAAGGGGCGAACUGCGCAAACAAUAAUAAAAAUAUUACCCCAUCUUAGCAAGAAUCUUGUUUAGCUUUGUAAAUAGUUAGAUCCUGGCUUCGCUCACACCGCCUAAUUUUGGUUAUGUUUUAAAAUGAAACCUAUUUCCACGUUAGGGUUGGGAGUUUAAAACUCAUGCACGUUUACUGAAAAUAAAAAAAUAGUUUACUUCUAUAUGUAAGAAGUAAACUAUUUCAUGAUAAUCUUUUUAUUCAAGGAAAUCUUUCAGCCGCUUACUGCGGGAAGGAUGUCUCAGCUUACGCAAUGCCUUCGCUUCAAUUUGGCGAAUCCGUUCUCUUGUUACGCCAAAUACUUUACCGACUUCUUCUAAAGUUCGUGUACGGCCGUCAUCAAGGCCAAAGCGAAGCCGCAAGACGUUUUCUUCCCGGUCUGUUAAUGUAUCAAGCACAUCUUCCAGCUGUUCUUUUAACAGCUCAUAUGCUGCAUGAUCAGAUGGCGAUGUCGCAUCCUGAUCUUCGAUAAAAUCACCAAGGUGUGAAUCAUCUUCUUCACCAAUCGGUGUUUCUAAAGAAACAGGUUCUUGGGCUAUCUUUAAGAUCUCGCGUACUUUUUCCGGUGUUAAAUCCAUAUCUUCGGCAAUUUCUUCCGGAGUUGGUUCACGGCCAAGAUCCUGCAAUAACUGCCGUUGGACACGAAUUAAUUUGUUGAUUGUUUCAACCAUAUGAACAGGAAUUCGGAUUGUUCGCGCCUGAUCAGCGAUAGCGCGUGUAAUUGCCUGUCGGAUCCACCAAGUAGCAUAAGUGCUAAACUUAUAUCCUUUACGAUAAUCAAAUUUUUCAACUGCUUUGAUCAAGCCCAUGUUUCCUUCUUGAAUUAAAUCCAAGAAAAGCAUUCCACGGCCAACGUAUCGUUUUGCUAUACUUACAACGAGGCGAAGGUUUGCUUCAGCAAGACGGCGUUUCGCUUCUUCGUCUCCUUGUUCAAUUCGUUUGGCCAGUUCUAUUUCUUCUUCCGCUGACAAGAGAUCAACACGCCCAAUUUCCUUUAGGUACAUUCGGACAGGGUCAUUAAUUUUUACUCCAGGAGGA